AAGAUCACAGCUAAAUAAUACUGUUUUCAAACAGUAUUGUGUUCCUGUUGGUGAGUAAGGUGACCAGAGCUCCUGGGGGGAUUGGGGAUUGGGUCGGCAACGCGCUUGCGAUGCUUUUGGUGUGCUUCUGGUGUUGCUAGUCUAUAAGCUACGGUAAUCUCUUACCAUCAGGUGAGCCGUACGCUUGUUUUCCGAACUAGUG
rnacentral:misc_RNA from 1 species